CCUAGUGUCUUAGUCUGCUGGGGGUACUAUAAAUAAUACAACAGAUUGGUUGGCUUAAUAAACAGACAUUUAUUUUCUCAUAGUUCUGGAAUCUGGGACGUCUAUGACUGAGUGCCUGCAAAUUCUGUUUAUGAAAUCUUCCUUCCACUUCAUCCAUGACGAUUUUUUGAGAAGCAAGAAGGGCAAAGGCCCAGAGUGAUUCAGUGAAGGUGCAUAUGGUAUUCAUUCUGCAGAGAACAAAUAUGGAACAGGAGAAAAAGUGACAGUCACACCAUUUGCAUUUGGUAUGUAAAUUCAAGAUACAUAUUGAUUUACAUGUAUAAUUUAGCAACCAAAAAAAAAAAAAAAGGAAAAAGAAACCCACAUAGCUAAGUAAACAUGAAUACCCACCCCAAGCUAAAGGCUGGGCUCGUGGUGGUGUUUGUAAAUGGCACUGUGUGGUAGCACAUCUUGGCAUGCAAAUGUGUACAAACUUAAAACUGUUGCUAGGUUAAACAACACCUUUCCCAGGAAGCACAACUGAUUUAGCAGCUUGUGCUUUAUGCGUUGGACUCCAGGGCAGAAGGCCCCUUUCCUCACCUCAUAGCAAGGGCAGAAAGGGGGAUUCAUCCGUGUUCUUUCCUUGCUGAAGUCUACCUUCAUGCUGAUACAGCCCAGCCUU
rnacentral:lncRNA from 10 species